rnacentral:rRNA from 1 species
AAUUUCGAUGAUACGCGAGGAACCUUACCCGGGCCUUGAAAUGCAUCUGACCGGCCUUGAAAGAGGUUUUCCCUUCGGGCAGAUGUGUAGGUGCUGCAUGGUUGUCGUCAGCUCGUGCCGUGAGGUGUCGGCUUAAGUGCCAUAACGAGCGCAACCCUCAUCAUUAGUUACCAUCAGGUAAGGCUGGGGACUCUAAUGAGACUGCCAUCGUAAGAUGUGAGGAAGGUGGGGAUGACGUCAAAUCAGCACGGCCCUUACGGCCUGGGCUACACACGUGCUACAAUGGUCGGUACAAAGGGUUGCCAAGCCGCGAGGUGGAGCUAAUCCCAUAAAACCGAUCGUAGUCCGGAUCGCAGUCUGCAACUCGACUGCGUGAAGUCGGAAUCGCUAGUAAUCGUGAAUCAGAAUGUCACGGUGAAUACGUUCCCGGGCCUU